UACGAAGGGGGCUAGCGUUGCUCGGAAUGACUGGGCGUAAAGGGCGCGUAGGCGUUUGUACAGUCAGAUGUGAAAUUCCUGGGCUCAACCUGGGGGCUGCAUUUGAUACGUAUGGACUGGAGUGAGGAAGAGGGUCGUGGAAUUCCCAGUGUAGAGGUGAAAUUCGUAGAUAUUGGGAAGAACACCGGUGGCGAAGGCGGCGACCUGGACCGGUUCUGACGCUGAGGCGCGAAAGCGUGGGUAGCAAACAGG
rnacentral:rRNA from 1 species